rnacentral:lncRNA from 1 species
GGGGAGCCCAGACUUGCCAAUGGGUAAGUGAGUCUAGUCAAGAUGUAGGAUUUCAGAAAACUCACUCAGAAGAGCAGGAUGAAGAUAAAGGAGGCAUCAUUCAGCAGCAAUAACCAACUCAUUUCCUUCUCUAGAAAGCAAUGAAACAAGAAUCUGGUCAUGGGAUUUUACCAGUGCAAAGGAUUAAUCCACCCAAUUGAUGGCCAAGAAACCAACCAGUGAGAGCAGGAAGCAAGAACACCUCGAGACAGGCAACCUCUGUUUUAGAUCCUGGCUGAACCCUGACAUGAUUACCUUAAGGAGACACACUGGAAGAAGGU